GGAGGCCACUGCUAUUGGGAUCCGACUAAGCCAUGCGAGUCGAGAGGGUUCGGCCCUCGGCAGACUGCUCAGUAACACGUGGAUAAUCUACCCUUAGGUGGAGGAUACUCUCGGGAAACUGAGAAUAAUACUCCAUAGGUCUAGGAUGCUGGAAUGCACCUAGGUUGAAAGUUCCGGCGCCUAAGGACGAGUCUGCGGACUAUCAGGUAGUAGUCAGGGUAAAGACCUGACUAGCCUACGACGGAUACGGGUUGUGAGAGCAAUAGCCCGGAGACGAUAUCUGAGACACGAUAUCGGGCCCUACGGGGCGCAGCAGGCGCGAAAUCUUCACAAUGUGCGAAAGCACGAUGAGGGGAUCCCAAGUGUUGGUUCGUAAGAGUCAUCUGUUUCUUUGUCUAAAAAACAGAGAGAGUAAGAGCUGGGUAAGACGGGUGCCAGCCGCCGCGGUAAUACCUGCAGCUCAAGUGGUGGCCGCUAUUAUUGGGCCUAAAACGUCCGUAGCCGGUUUAGUAAAUGCCUGGGUAAAUUGUGUAGCUCAACUAUACGAAUACCGGGUAGACUGCUAAACUUGGAACCGGGAGAGGCUAGAGGUACUCCUAGGGUAGAGGUGAAAUUCUGUAAUCCUAGGGGGACCACCAGUGGCGAAGGCGUCUAGCUAGAACGGGUUUGACGGUGAGGGACGAAGCCCUGGGGCGCAAACCGGAUUAGAUACCCGGGUAGUCCAGGGUGUAAACGCUGCUCGCUUGAUGUUAGUCGGGCUCCGAGCCCAACUAGUGUCGGANAGAAGUUGUUAAGCGAGCUGCCUGGGAAGUACGGUCGCAAGGCUGAAACUUAA
rnacentral:rRNA from 1 species